rnacentral:rRNA from 1 species
UACGAAGGGUGCAAGCGUUACUCGGAAUUACUGGGCGUAAAGCGUGCGUAGGUGGUCUGUUAAGUCUGAUGUGAAAGCCCUGGGCUCAACCUGGGAAUGGCAUUGGAUACUGGCAGGCUAGAGUGCGGUAGAGGAUGGCGGAAUUCCCGGUGUAGCAGUGAAAUGCGUAGAGAUCGGGAGGAACAUCUGUGGCGAAGGCGGCCAUCUGGACCAGCACUGACACUGAGGCACGAAAGCGUGGGGAGCGAACGGG